GCACAGAGUACCUAUGUUCCUUCACUCCAACAACUCUUGAAUUGUAUGGGAUUGUGCUACAUGUUGCACAUUGUAUUUAAUUCCUUUUAUAUUUCUAGGUUCAUGCAGUUGGAUAAAGUAGCUAUGAUGGACAUUUUGAUUUUUAAUGGGCAGCCUUUUAAUCUGACAAGGAAUUUGAUUUUUUUUUUUUAAUAAGAUGGUAAUAUAAAUGCAUCUAAAAAUAUCAGAAAACAAAACAUCAUAGAAGGCAGCUGGUUGCUAACCGUUAGUUUUUUCGUUUCAAAGUUUUGCUGCGGUGGAGCCUUUUUAGGUUCGUUGUUUUCUAUUUUUUGGUUUACAUGGAUAUGGUCGCUAGCAUGCCUCUGCAUGGUAUGUGUCAUUACAUCUGAAUGAUCUUGUGUAACCUUCAUAAUGAUCUUGGGCAAUUGUUGCCAUCAUAUAUCAGCAAGCAGAAAUCUUAUUGCUACAUCACCAAUGAUCAUUUGGUGUGACCAAUUCGACGUAAAAAGAUUGUUCAACCACAUAUGAAGAAAGCAAGCAAAACUGAGAUGGAAGUCACAAGGGGAUACAAACAUGCUUGCUUAUGAACAAGGACAUGACCUUGGAUUAGUAUGAAAGUCAAUUCAGGGCUAAUAUAGCUGA
rnacentral:lncRNA from 1 species